UUUGAGUUGUAGUUUUAAAAUAAAAAAAGGACAGAAAAAUGAAAGAAAGCAACUACUCUAAAUAUUUUUAUUGUUAGAUAUUGCAUUUGGAAGGUUGUGACUUCUUCACUAACCUUGAUGAAACUACCCAGGAUAGUCAAAAAUCAAGUAAAGGGAAAUAAUCAAGACCAGCCAUGUUGCAUUUUGAUAGGAAAAAAUUUCUUUUUUGGAACUGGUGAUUCAAGAUUUAUGCCUUUAUCCUUCAGAAUCGAUAAUUUAUGAAAUUCACUAUCUCCAUCCUGUAUCUCCAUCAGUAUUCUGGGUAAUUUUCUGUUUUCAUACUUAGCUAUUUCAUCCCAUUUUUCUGAAAUUAUUCAUUUUAGAAAACAGUAAGUAGGCCUCCUCAUAUUCUAAGUGGCCACAUAUAUGUGGCUGUAUUCCAAAUAUAAAGAACUAGAGGUGAAGCCAAGAAGAAUGUCAGGACUUCUAACAUCUCUGUGUCUUCAACUCUAAUAGGCAGCCCCAGGCCUAUUAGAGCCAAAGUCUGUCAUGCUCAGAUGGGAACAAACAAUGCAUAGACCUCAAGCCAGCCCUUGGUACACCUGAGGAGAGUCUUCUACAUGUAGGCUUUGUGACUGACCUGUGAAGUGAGUCUUACAGCAACCUCCUUUUUUAAUUUUAAUUAAAAUGUGUAUUAUUAACUGGUCAGAAGUCCCAAGGCUGCACAUACAACAGACAAUUAAAGACAGCUUUUCAUGAACCAUCUGUGGGAUCCAUAUUCUGUCCAUGUAUCUAAGUGAGCUAUCAUUUAUUCAUACAAGUAUAAAAACUAACUUAUUCCGUUUUUGUGAAGCAAUGUACAAGCAUGGCCAUGCUAUAUGAAGAUCCAAAUGACUCUACACUACAGUAAGUCUUGAUUGUUCUCAUAGUCUAUCAAAAGCCUCAUGACAGGCCCUGGCCUCUGCUGACUUCAGAAAGCCUGUCAGUCACAGUGUAAUUGGUACCACAAUAGGGCAUUUGCUAAAGCAUGGAGGCAGAUGACAAGAGCAGCACAAGGGAGGAGUCUUUGGCUGAGACAUGAAGUACAGAGAUAUUAUGGUAGGCUUCUCCUUGCAGCCAACAGGAAAAGACAGCUGAAACAGUGCUCUCCAGACCCUCAUGCAUCUUCAGAAACAGGAGGGAACCUGAAACUGGGAUGGACAGAGUACUGUGUGCAUAGGAUGACAGAAAGUCCCUCUGUCUGACCUAGACCUCUGGAGGCAGAACCUAAGGAUGCAAAGGAUAGACAAAGGCUGUUCUGAGACCAAGGUGAGGGAAAGCAGACAGCACUCGCUUAGCAUGAAAUUUUGUGAAAAUACUUGAAGCCAGUUGUGCAAAUUGUUAAAUCUUGCAAACCUUAAUUUUAUUGUCUGUAAAAAUCUUUAUAAUCAUACUUCAUUAAAGAUUCUAACUGGGUUGAAAUGAAAUGUCUGUACUUUUUUGUUUGUUUGUUUUUCGAGACAGGGUUUCUCUGUGGCUUUGGAGGCUGUCCUGGAACUAGCUCUUGUAGACCAGGCUGGUCUCCAACUCACAGAGAUCCGCCUACCUCUGGCUCCCAAGUGCUGGGAUUAAAGGCGUGUGCCACCAACGCCUGGCAAAAUUUCUGUACUUCCUUCCUUCAGAUGUCUCCCUAAAUGUCACCUGUUAGACCUGAUCUAAAGUAGUAUUCCCCAUCCUUGGUCCCUUUUAUCCUGUGUUGUUUUUUAAAGAAUGUGUCAAUGAUAUAUUGGUUGCCUGUCUGUAUCUGUGGCCUCUCCUGGCUGUGAGUUCAAGAGAUGGGCACUUUGUUUUAUUCACAAUAGUGUCCCCACAUCCUAAGAGUAUUUGCUACAUUAUAAGACACUGUAAAUCCUUUUAUAUUUUUAUAACAUGGUUUAUUUUAAAGCAUGGCAUUGUUUGUAUCUCAGUAAGCAAAGCCAUGGCUUCACUAUAUGUUGGCUUUUGCAGAGUAUGUCUUGUGACCGGCAGAUACGAUGAAGUAGUAUAAAUAAAAUAAAAGCUGCUUGCUUUUGAAACAAAGUAUCAUGGGACUAAAGUGCACUAUGUGUAUCUUUUAGAUAUGAUUUGAGCCUUAUUGCUUGUCCUUUUGGAAGUCUUCAAAAAGUAUUUCAAAUGUUGUUCUGUUUGCCUGAUAUCUGUGCUCUAGGAGGAAAUCACAACAGUGAUCCUUUUUGUUUGUUUCAAUGUAUUCGCACAAUCUCCUGAAACUGAAACAAAAAGGUCAGAUAUCAAGAGACAGUGGCAUUCUAUAUGCUUUCCACUGAGGCAAGGGACUUAGAAGCAUU
ensembl:lncRNA